CCGUGCGUUGAUCUCGCGUGUGUGUGGAACGGACAAAUCUGCUAUCUGCUUGCCGGGAGAUAUGUCUCGCUUUGCCGUAACAGGCAGGAGACCAAAGAAGAAGAACGGGUUUCAGGAGGAUGGAUUCCCACCGAGCACCGACUAUUUGUCGGGAGGGGGUGUGGACCUGACCU